CAGUCGCCACGGUAAGACAGAGGUCCCGAGCGUUGUUCGGAUUCAUUGGGCGUAAAGGGUGUGUAGGAGGCCAGGUAAGUCAGGUGUGAAAUCUCAGAGCUUAACUCUGAAACUGCGCUUGAUACUGCUUGGCUAGAGGAUCGGAGGGGGUAACGGAAUUUAUGGUGUAGCAGUGAAAUGCGUAGAUAUCAUAAGGAACACCGGUGGCGAAGGCGGUUACCUGGAAGAUUCCUGACUCUGAAACACGAAAGCCAGGGGAGCAAACGGGAUUAGAUACCCCAGUAGUCCCUGUCUCUUAUAA
rnacentral:rRNA from 1 species